rnacentral:lncRNA from 1 species
UUUCAGUCACGUAUUGACAGAGGAGGUUGGACGUGGUUCGAGUUAUCGAGGGUAAUAUAUGUAGAGAGCAUCCCCUGAAAGGAUACGAAAAUUGCUUCGAGUUCACGGGAAGUUCGAGUUGUCGAGGGUAAAUUUUCAGUAAAUGCAUGACGGGCGAAUCGGCUUUGGUUCGAGUUAGCACGAGGUUCGAGAUAGCGAGGGUUCGAGUCAUUCGACUGUACCCCUUCUAAUUCUAUGGCUGGUGACAUAAGAUUGCGUGACUAUUAUUUUGACACUGACCAAAAUUAAAGCAGGCUCCUGUCAAUUGUCACAUGACAUGCUGCGGUCUUCGAAGGUCUAGCCCAAAGCGUCAUGUCGUGAAAGUUAUCGUUUUUUUGGUUGCAAACUUAAUAGAACGAUGUUAAUUUCCCAACUAGUCGUAGAAAACAGAAGAGAUGGUUAGUCACCGUAAGGAGCGACUGUGCAUACCCAAGUGCCAGAUCAAGAACGGCAACGCGAAACUUGCGAAGAUACCAUGUGCUUCGUGAUCUGCGUGGAAAUGGCUGAAGAUGCAAAACGAAGUAAACUGGACGCUCUCGGCAGUAGGCAAAGCUUUUGCUAUUGUUGAAGAACAUCUCCAGCAGAGUCCCAUUUGAUGGACUUUCCCAGGAUUACACUGCGAGCCACAUCAUUGUUUCUCUACACCACCUGGCCAGUAAAAAUCUUCACAGACUUGUAGAACUCCCAACAUUUGGGGUUGUGAGUAACCAUGAUGUGCAUGUAUGGUGUAAUCCAUCAUUUUUAUGUAAGGAGGUAUUCUGGUCGAUAUAUUCUUGAAUGUAUUCUUGAAAUAAGGAUUUCACAGAACUCACUUAAGCACCAAUGUAUUUUCCUUGUAGAGGGUCCAUGUGGCACAAUUUUAAAGGUCAUCUUGACACUGCUUCACUUUUCAGAUUAAACCUGGCCCU